UACGGGAGGCAGCAGCGGGGAAUAUUGCACAAUGGGCGCAAGCCUGAUGCAGCCAUGCCGCGUGUAUGAAGAAGGCCUUCGGGUUGUAAAGUACUUUCAGUCGUGAGGAAGGUGUUAAGGUUAAUAACCUUAGCAAUUGACGUUAGCGACAGAAGAAGCACCGGCUAACUCCGUGCCAGCAGCCGCGGUAAUACGGAGGGUGCGAGCGUUAAUCGGAAUUACUGGGCGUAAAGGGCACGCAGGCGGUUAAUUAAGUUGGAUGUGAAAUCCCCGGGCUUAACCUGGGAAUGGCAUUCAAGACUGGUUAGCUAGAGUCUUGUAGAGGGGGUAGAAUUCCAUGUGUAGCGGUGAAAUGCGUAGAGAUGUGGAGGAAUACCGGUGGCGAAGGCGGCCCCUGGGACAAAGACUGACGCUCAUGUGCGAAAGCGUGGGGAGCAAACAGGGAUUAGAUACC
rnacentral:rRNA from 1 species